rnacentral:lncRNA from 1 species
AGCUUGCGGGAUCAGACGGCUUUGCUAGGCUGUUUUAAAGCCCCGUCAACAUUAGCCCCUAGGCCGAUCUGUAAGAAGGAUCCCCUUAGCCUAUCAGAGGUCAAGAUGCAGUCAUUAUCAUUUGUUAAUACCUAUACAGUCCUUUCCGAUCUACAAGUAGGACAAGGAGAGUGUGCAGGGCAAGUGUGACCUUCCUGGUCCCAUCCCUUAAGUCUGUGAGUCAACACAGGAAGGAGUAAUGGAUGGAUAGUUAUUUUAUUUCCAAAGCUGCGAUCAUAUGGAUGGAUGAAUGAUGAGUAGUAGACAGGAUAUAACAGAUAUAAUCCUGACUAGUCUCCCAGUCCCUGCCGCUGAAAAACAUCCCCACAGCAUGAUGCCUCCACCAUGCUAGGUUUAACAAAAUGACAAGGUGAAAAAAUCUAUGAAUCUGCCCUUGAGCAAGGCACUUAACCCUAAUGGCUCCAGGGUUACUGAUCGUAAUGGAGAGGGGGGUCACAGCCAGCCAUUAUGAACGGUAACCCUGGAGCCAUAAGGGUUAAGUGCUUUGCUCAAGGGCACAUCCAUAGAUGUUUCACCUUGUCGGCUCGGGGAUUCAAACUAGCAACCUCUGUUACUGGCCCAACGCUCAAACCGCUAGGCUACCUGCUUAAACCCCACCAUCAUUAACCCCUAAGCUUGUGGGCCGAUCUGUAAUGAGGAUCCCCUUAACCUAUCACAGGGCAAGCUGCAGUCGUUACCCUUUAGUUAACACCUAUCCAAUCCUUUCAGAGUGGGAUAUGACAAAAAAACACAUUUCUAAAUAUCAUGUGAAAGAGGACAAAUAUUAGUACCCACCAAAUUACUACACACACACUUCAAAGCGUUCCUCCAUCUGGAACCACAAACGUGCACUUUAGUAAACAACAAAAGCAUCUCAAAGGCUCAAUUAAAUGCAUGCAUAUGUAUAUACACAAACACACACACACAAUCAAAUUGUCCCAUCUCUGUUGAAAACAUAAAAUUGUUAACUAUAUUACAAGCACUGUGUGUGUGUGUGUGUGUGUGUGUGUGUGUGGGACGACCUACCCCUCCACAGACUCGUCUCUCAGCUGUGUGUGUGUGUGUGUGGGACGACCUACCCCUCCACAGACUCGUCUCUCAGCUGUGUGUGUGUGUGUGUGUGGGACGACCUACCCCUCCACAGACUCGUCUCUCAGCUGUGUGUGUGUGUGUGGGACGACCUACCCCUCCACAGACUCGUCUCUCAGCUGUGUGUGUGUGUGGGACGACCUACCCCUCCACAGACUCGUCUCUCAGCUGUGUGUGUGUGUGUGUGGGACGACCUACCCCUCCACAGACUCGUCUCUCACCUGUGUGUGUGUGUGUGUGUGUGUGUGGGACGACCUACCCCUGUUAA